UGUGUGUUAGUGGAAGCGUCUGGAAAGGCGCGCGAUACAGGGUGACAGCCCCGUACACAAAAAUACACAUACUGUGAGCUCGAUGAGUAGGGCGGGACACGUGGUAUCCUGUCUGAAUAUGGGGGGACCAUCCUCCAAGGCUAAAUACUCCUGACUGACCGAUAGUGAACCAGUACCGUGAGGGAAAGGCGAAAAGAACCCCGGCGAGGGGAGUGAAAAAGAACCUGAAACCGUGUACGUACAAGCAGUGGGAGCACGCUUAGGCGUGUGACUGCGUACCUUUUGUAUAAUGGGUCAGCGACUUAUAUUCUGUAGCAAGGUUAACCGAAUAGGGGAGCCGAAGGGAAACCGAGUCUUAACUGGGCGUUAAGUUGCAGGGUAUAGACCCGAAACCCGGUGAUCUAGCCAUGGGCAGGUUGAAGGUUGGGUAACACUAACUGGAGGACCGAACCGACUAAUGUUGAAAAAUUAGCGGAUGACUUGUGGCUGGGGGUGAAAGGCCAAUCAAACCGGGAGAUAGCUGGUUCUCCCCGAAAGCUAUUUAGGUAGCGCCUCGUGAAUUCAUCUCCGGGGGUAGAGCACUGUUUCGGCAAGGGGGUCAUCCCGACUUACCAACCCGAUGCAAACUGCGAAUACCGGAGAAUGUUAUCACGGGAGACACACGGCGGGUGCUAACGUCCGUCGUGA
rnacentral:rRNA from 1 species